CAGUCGCCGCGGUAAUACGGAGGGUGCAAGCGUUAAUCGGAAUUACUGGGCGUAAAGCGCACGCAGGCGGUCUGACAAGUCAGAUGUGAAAUCCCCGGGCUUAACCUGGGAACUGCAUUUGAAACUGUCAGGCUGGAGUCUUGUAGAGGGGGGUGGAAUUCCAGGUGUAGCGGUGAAAUGCGUAGAGAUCUGGAGGAAUACCGGUGGCGAAGGCGGCCCCCUGGACAAAGACUGACGCUCAGGUGCGAAAGCGUGGGGAGCAAACAGGAUUAGAUACCCGAGUAGUCCCUGUCUCUUAUAU
rnacentral:rRNA from 1 species